rnacentral:lncRNA from 10 species
GUUCUGAACAGAUGGAAAUUUCUUGGCUGUUGGGAGUCAAACUGUGGAUAUUUGGAGACGGAGCUUAAUGUCACUCCCCUUGAGUGUGGACUGAAUUUAGUGACUCAAUUUCCAAGAAUUGAGCAAGAAAAGGGAAAAAUAAUAACUUUAUGUUGGAGAAAUGCACAGAGUUCACCUUGCCCAAGUGAUCAAAGGUGACUUCACAGUGGUAAGUCAGGACAAUACCCUGCACCCUGACGUGAUGUCGUGAAAGGGCACUCGCGUACGUGGUAUUCUCUCCACAAGUCCAUAACCCACGGCAAUUGUGAGUAAGCCUCAGACAAACCCCCACCGCGGGUCACUCUCCGACAUUGCUGGCAAUCCUCUUCAAGAGUGUGCAGGUUAUGAAAGGCCAGGACACACUGAGAAAGGGUCCCAGAUGUGAGGAGACGAAGGAGAUUUGACAGGAGAAGCAUGAUGGGAUCCUGGAACAGAGCAAGAACGUUAGUGAAGAACAGGUGAAAUGCUGCUAGAGCCUGUUGGUUCUUUGAUAAUAGCGUACCAAAAACAAUUUUUUAGUUUUGAUAACUGUACCAUGGUUAUGUAAUACAUUAACACUGGGGAAGCUCAGUGAAUAUGUGGACUCUUGGACUAUUUUUAUAACGCUUCUUGUGUAGAAGGUCUAAAAUGAUCUCAGAAUACAAAUUUAAAUAAAUUAAUUUAAUGCUCAAAACACCCUUGAUUGGAACUUACAGCUGGCCCUCUGUAUUCAUGGGUUCAACCAAUCACUAAUUAAAAAUAUUGGAAACAAAAAUUGCAUCUGUACUGACCAUAUGCAGACUUUUUCUUGUUAUUAUUCCCUGAAUAACACAGUAUACCGACUCUUUACAUAGCAUUUACAGCACAUUAGGUAUUGUAAGUAACACAGAGAUGAUCUGAAGCAUAUGGGAGGGUGUGUGGAGGUGGUAUGCAAACACUGCACCAUUUUACAGCACGGACUUGAGCAUCUGCAGAUUUUGGCAUCUCCGGG